UCUCGGCCUUCUGGCUAAGAUCAAGUGUAAAAAUGGAAAUACAUAAAAUAUCCAAGAAAAAUUAAAGAUAUACAUUCAUAAAAAUUUAGUUAUGCAAUACAUUAUUUUGAUGAUGAGCUAAAUCUCAUAAAGACUAAUUGAAAUUGGCUAUGACAUUGCUAUUGCCACUUUGAAUUAACAGAAGAUACUAUUAUCCACUUGAAUCAUUUAAUAUCAAAUUUCUUAACACUCCUUCCUGUGAGUGGACGCAUUAUACCAUCUCUAGAUAUACAUUAUUCAACUUCAACUACACAUGGCACCGAAAGUAUCAAAGCAGGUGAAAAUAAGGAUGAAAACUUUAACAAUUAAUAAAGGGAAAAGUAAACUUAUGCAGCUUCUGGGAGACUGACAUGCAUGUUGCCUCAGAACCUUUGCAGAUAUUUGAGUUUACCCCAAGUCUUCUGAUAUCUCACUGAACACAUUCCUUUAACUCAUCAAAAAUGUUCUUUUGAUGACCAAGCUGAGCAUGAAUAAAUUGUUUCUGUCUCAUCAGUUUUUGCUUUUAUUUUAUAUGUCAUGGGUACCAGGUCUAAUGUAGUUAAUCGUUUCUUUAGAAAAACAAACAUAAUAUCUGAUUAAAUCCAUGGAUAAAUAAUUCUAUAUUUCUCUGUUUUAUGCCUUGGACUAUUUGAAAUAACUCAUGCAUUGCACUACGGUAAUGUGUGUUUCUCAACUGAAAACUACAAGCUAAUACAUGAUGUUGUUUUCAAAAUAUUUUAUGGAAUUUCUUCAGGAAAAUAUAAAACCUAAAUCUCUAUUCUGAAUUUAUUCCAGAAUUCUAUUAGUUGUUUUUGUCAGGGAUUGAAAUAAUCUUCAGUCCUGCUCAGCAACUUUGUCUACUCUCUCUCCCACCAGAAAUAUCUGGAUACUGUUUGCUCACUGAGACUGACAACUAAAACUUUGAGAAAAUUGUAAGGGAAAGAAAAGAAUCUAGCAGAAUAACAGAGUUCGAGAAGUCAUGGAGGAGCAGCGUAUGAACUUGGUGAAUGUUCUUUCUACAGCCCCGUGUGAGAAGAGCAGUUUAACUGUGGAGCUAGAAUGUGUUUACUAAUUGUUUGACACUGGAUGUUCUUUCUGCCCCCAUUAUAAUAAAGUUCCUCUUAUCUGAUGA